rnacentral:rRNA from 1 species
GUGAACGCUGGCGGUAGGCCAACACAUGCAAGUCGACCGGCAGCACAGUAAGAGCUUGCUCUUACGGGUGGCGAGUGGCGGACGGGUGAGGAAUACAUCGGAAUCUACUUUUUCGUGGGGGAUAACGUAGGGAAACUUACGCUAAUACCGCAUACGACCUACGGGUGAAAGCAGGGGAUCUUCGGACCUUGCGCGAUUGAAUGAGCCGAUGUCGGAUUAGCUAGUUGGCGGGGUAAAGGCCCACCAAGGCGACGAUCUGUAGCUGGUCUGAGAGGAUGAUCAGCCACACUGGAACUGAGACACGGUCCAGACUCCUACGGGAGGCAGCAGUGGGGAAUAUUGGACAAUGGGCGCAAGCCUGAUCCAGCCAUACCGCGUGGGUGAAGAAGGCCUUCGGGUUGUAAAGCCCUUUUGUUGGGAAAGAAAAGCAGCAGGUUAAUACCCCGCUGUUCUGACGGUACCCAAAGAAUAAGCACCGGCUAACUUCGUG